AUAAAUCCUCAGCAACAAAUUCUGAUGACUCAGGAAAGGAUGUAAUGGAAAUUAUACCCUUGGACAAUGGUUCCAAAAUACCAAUAAAAAAAAGUUGUUCCAAUAAGAGAUGCCAAAAGUUGCUCCCCUUAAUAAAAACCUGGAUAUAGAAAUUAAAAAA